GGAAGUAAAAGUCGUAACAAGGUCUCCGUUGGUGAACCAGCGGAGGGAUCAUUACUGAGUUUACGCUCUACAACCCUUUGUGAACAUACCUACAACUGUUGCUUCGGCGGGUAGGGUCCCCGUGGCCCUCCCGGCCUCCCGCCCCCCCGGGCGGGUCGGCGCCCGCCGGAGGAUAACCAAACUCUGAUUUAACGACGUUUCUUCUGAGUGGUACAAGCAAAUAAUCAAAACUUUUAACAACGGAUCUCUUGGUUCUGGCAUCGAUGAAGAACGCAGCGAAAUGCGAUAAGUAAUGUGAAUUGCAGAAUUCAGUGAAUCAUCGAAUCUUUGAACGCACAUUGCGCCCGCCAGCAUUCUGGCGGGCAUGCCUGUUCGAGCGUCAUUUCAACCCUCAAGCUCUGCUUGGUGUUGGGGCCCUACAGCUGAUGUAGGCCCUCAAAGGUAGUGGCGGACCCUCCCGGAGCCUCCUUUGCGUAGUAACUUUACGUCUCGCACUGGGAUCCGGAGGGACUCUUGCCGUAAAACCCCCCAAUUUUCCAAAGGUUGACCUCGGAUCAGGUAGGAAUACCCGCUGAACUUAAGCAUAUCAAUA
rnacentral:rRNA from 1 species